rnacentral:rRNA from 1 species
AAAACUCACCAGGUCAGGACAGGUAAGGAUUGACGGACUGAAGGCUUCUUUCUCGAUUCCGUGGAAAGUGGUGCAUGGCCGUUUUUGGUUGGUGGAUCGAUCCGUCUGGUUAAUUCCGUUAACGAACGAGACCUCGGCACUCCGAAUAGCGCGGCGGACGUCGCGGCCUCCGGGCCGUCUUCCGCACGAGCUUCUUAGAGGGACCGUCCCCCCGCCGGGGAAGGAGGUGCGAGGCAACGACAGGUCUGUGAUGCCCUUAGAUGUUCUGGGCCGCACGCGCAUUACACUGACGCGUCCAACGGGUGACCUCCCGACCCGAAGGGGCCGGGGAAUCCGCAAGGCGCGUCGUGAUGGGGAUUGAACGUUGCAAUUGUUGUUCACGAACGAGGAAUUCCUAGUAGGCGCGGGUCAUCAACCCGCGCCGAUUACGUCCCCUGCCCUUUGUACACACCGC